rnacentral:rRNA from 1 species
GAUGAACGCUGGCGGCGUGCCUAAUACAUGCAAGUCGAGCGAACAGACGAGGAGCUUGCUCCUCUGACGUUAGCGGCGGACGGGUGAGUAACACGUGGAUAACCUACCUAUAAGACUGGGAUAACUUCGGGAAACCGGAGCUAAUACCGGAUAAUAUAUUUAACCGCAUGGUUCAAUAGUGAAAGACGGUUUUGCUGUCACUUAUAGAUGGAUCCGCGCCGUAUUAGCUAGUUGGUAAGGUAACGGCUUACCAAGGCAACGAUGCGUAGCCGACCUGAGAGGGGGAUCGGCCACACGGGAACUGAGACACGGACCAUACUCCUACGGGAGGCAGCAGUAGGGUAUCUUACGCAAUGGGGGGAAGCCUGACGGAGCAACGCGGCGUGAGUGAUGAAGGUCUUCGGAUCGUAAAACUCUGUUAUUAGGGAAGAACAAAUGUGUAAGUAACUAUGCACGUCUUGACGGUACCUAAUCAGAAAGCCACGGCUAACUACGUG